rnacentral:tRNA from 1 species
GCCCUCGUAGCUUAGCCGGUAGAGCGCAUGACUGUUAAUCAUGAGGUCGGCAGUUCGAGUCUGCCCGAGGGCG